UACAGAGGUCCCGAGCGUUGUUCGGAUUCAUUGGGCGGAAAGGGUGCGUAGGCGGCGGGGUAAGUCUGAUGUGAAAUCCUGGGGCUCAACCCCAGAACUGCAUUGGAUACUGCCUUGCUAGAGUACUGGAGAGGAAACUGGAAUUUACGGUGUAGCAGUGAAAUGCGUAGAGAUCGUAAGGAAGACCAGUGGCGAAGGCGAGUUUCUGGACAGUAACUGACGCUGAGGCACGAAAGCGUGGGGAGCAAACAGG
rnacentral:rRNA from 1 species